UGGGGAAGACGCAUGGACAGAUUGGGGGCCCUCUCAAGACAUUGCCUCCAAACGGGUCAUGUCCAACGUCCUCAAUGCAGAAAAGCCCGGUUGGACUGGCAACAGGCUGGGUUGGAGCCAUUGUUAAAAAAACCGGGUGAUCUAACUGGUGGCCACCCGGUUAGGUCGUGGUUCCGAGCGGUUUCAGUGUUUGGCUCGUAUUUUAAAAAUAAAAAUUCAAAAAAAUGUUUAAAAUCCCAAAAAUAAAGAAUUUGAUUUGUAAUAUAUUUUUUAAUAUUUUUUACAUUAUGGUAAAUAUUAAAAAUUAUUUGGUCAUUAAUGCUUACUUUUAAAUUCCAUUUUUUUUAUUAAUUUUCAAUUUCAUUUAAAUACGUUUUGUUUUAAUUAUUUUUUAUAUGCUUUUUAUAUUUGAGUAGAUUUUUUUUUACACCUCUUUGAUUUUUUUCAACAAUUUUUUGGCCACUUGGGACUUGCUCGAUUAGAACAGUUGGUGAAUCUGCCGGUUUACCAAUUAAGCCGAUUAAACUGCUCCCAGCCCAUGUCCGGUUAAGUAUUUCGGUUCCAUUUUACGAACACUGGUUUGAGCCAAGCUAGACUUGGCCAAGGUCAAGAGGUUCGGCUAGGAUUAGGUUGAAGGGCCUUCACCAAAGCCUGGCAUAGGGCCUUCAUUAAGUGGCCGGGCCAGUCCUAGCCCCAUAGAAUUUAACUAAGGAACCACAAAAAACAAAAAGAGUGGAUAGGCGAGUAGUGGUCCCAGGCCCAGGCCGGGCUUGAGGGAGUUUUUAAGGGCUAGGCUGCCCGUUCAGUUGCUAUUAGUAUUUUAUUAUAGUAUAGUACUAUUGUAUAGUUCAAAAUCAAGAAAAAAAAAAGUUUGUGGAUUUUAGUCAUUGAAUGAAGAGUGGUGUGUGAAAAGAGUGGUAUUAAUAUAAAAACACUUUCAUGCCUUUUAUUAAUGGAACAAAAAAAAGAGUAUGGACAUAUAUGCGGAGCAUACAAAGCAUACCACAUACGUGUGUGUGAGAGGGUGCAAGGGCGCAUUGGUUUAACUUUGCAUUUCGUACACUGAUAUCGGUUCAACUUUGCAUUUCACACACUCGUAUCAAUACUAUAGUUCAACUUUGCAUUUCGUACACUCAUAUCAGCGCCAUGGUUCAAUUUUGCAUUUCGCAUACUCAUAUCAGUGCCAUGGUUUGACUUUGCACUUUACAAACUCAUAUCAAUGCCUGAGAUAACAGUUGGUUCAACUUUGAACUUUACAAACUCGCAUCAGCCUGAGAUAACCAUUGGAACUCGCAUCAGUGCUUGAGAUAACCGUUGGAUGGAGACAGUUGGGUCACAUGUAAUGUGGAUUUUUUACUCCGUACCUCCUUUUUACUAUUUCAAAUUUUCUCUUUCUCAAUAUUUUCUUAUUGACUUUAUCUCUCUAAAAAUAAAAAAAUGGGCCACUUUCCCUCUUUAAAUUCAGACAAAUCUGGUGGUAUGUAAAUUUGCCCAUACUGUACAAAAUUAGGCUAGUGAGUAUUAUCAGUGACCUUCUAUUUACUAUUCGGAGCAUUGAUUUAUCUGGGUUAUAUUUUGGACGCUAUUAUUCUACAGUACGGAGGUAAAUUGCAGUAUUGAGAGAGCGCAAGCAUGAAUUCCAUCAAAGUUAUGAAUCAAGAUUUUGUAAUAUGCGAUCAGUUUCGUGAGACAAAAUUAUGCCAGAGUUGUGAUCCCAAAUGAAGAAGUGGACCAUUAUAUAUAUGAGGGUCAUACUCUCAACACACUUACCGAGCCAAUCUAUGAAAUGAAUUGCUCGGUGGCAUCGGUGAGCGAACUUUAGCAAAUGUUGGAGACAAAGUACUCAAUGGAAGAAUCGGGUAAUCAAUGUUUCUUACUUUCGAAUUAUUUGGAGUUUAAGUUCACCGUUAACAAAGUAAUACUCAACUUAGUAUAUGAGUUGCAACUUGUGGUAAGUGAACUCAAAGUUUGUGGUAUUGAACUUCAUGAAGUAUUUCAAGUAAGGAUUAUUAUUCAUAAGUUAUCCCCGCUUUAAAAGAAUAAUAAAAGAAGAUGAAACACAAAAAGGUUGAUAUUGAUUUAGUUCAACUUCAAUGAACUCUUCGCAUAGAGAAAGAGUUUUGGAUUUGAGAAAAGAAAGGGGAAGUAAUGGAAUAUAAUUCUAAAACUAAUCUUGUAGAGCAAAAGUCAAAGGACAUGGCUCAAAACACUGAAAGGCCCUUCUCUUUUAAGAAUCAAAAGGACAGAUCAAAAAUCCAAAAAGAAGAAGGGUGUUUUCUUUGUCUAUGGAGAAACCGGCCACUAUUCAAAGGAAUGUCCACACCGCAGAAGGCCUCAAAACCCUCAAUGUCAAGUAAACAAAACCACUCAUGAGAAUUUGGUUCCAAAGGUCACUAAAAUUAAUAUGGUUGAUAACGAGGAAGGUUGGUGGAUAGACGCUGAUGCUACCAUCGAUGUGACCAAUAACUGGAAUUUCUUUAAGACAUAUGAACCAGCGGUAGAUGGGAAUUAAGUUCAAUUGGGAACUCAAGCACUCAUAGCGGGACAAUUGAAUUUGACGUUCAAUUUGGGAAAAUAUUGACUUUAAAAAAUGUGUACUAUAUACUUAGACAUGAGAAAAAUUUGGUGUCAGGAUAUUUGUUGAAUAAAAAGGGAUUCAAAAUGAUCAUUGGAUUUGACAAGAUUAUUUUUUACUAAAAUUGCUCUCUUGUGGGGAGGGGAUGUAAUGGAAUGUUCAAACUUUAUUAGAUAAAUGAAAUAAAGAAUAUUUUUGUUGAAAUUGUGAGUUCUUUUCUAUGGCAUGCUAGAUUACGAUAUUUAAAUUUUACUGCAAUAAAAUUUGUUUUAAAGGUAGGCCUUAUUUCUAGUUGUGAUGAUAUAUCUAAUGAAAAGUGUGAGUCUUGUGUACAAGCAAAAAUUACUAGAAAACACUUUUAGUAGAAAGAAAUAUUGAAUUGUUAGGACUCAUACAGAGUGAUAUAUGUGAAUUAAAUAAUAUUUUCACAAGAGGUGGAAAAAGCUAUUUUAUUACUUUCAUAGAUGAUUUUUCACGUUAUACAUAUAUUUAUUUGUUAAUAAGAAAAUAAAGAUAUUGAGAUGUGAUAGUGGUGGAUAAUACUUAUCUAAUAAAUUAAUUUUUUUUGGUGAAAAUAAUGAAAUAAUCCAUCAAGUUACUGCUCCAUAUAGCCAUCAACAAAAUGAAUUUUUUUUUGGUAGUUCAAUUGUAGGAAUAAGCUUGAGAUCUAGUAUUGCUAAAGUCAUUAGCUAACUACUUAAGUCCAAACCCCAAUUCCUAACAACAAAAUGGUUUGUAGAAAGAAAAAUAGAACAUUGGUGGAAAUGGUUAAUUUCAUGUUAAUAAAUUGAGGUUUAAUUCUAAAUUUAUGAAGUGAAGCCUGGUUAUUGGCUUGUGUGAUAAUUAAUAGAAUUCCAUAUAUAAAAAGUUAAUAAAACCCCAUAUAGGUUAUGGUUUAUUAAAAAAACCUUCUUUAAAGUUUCUCAAAGUAUAGGGAUGUCUAGCAUAUGUGAGGCUCGUUGAUCUUAUAAGACAUAAACUUGAACCUAGAGCCACUAAGUGUAUAUUUUUAAGAUAUGCUCAAAAAGUAAAGCAUAGAGGUUUUUAGAACUUAGUACAAAUACAACAAUAGGAUCAAGUGAUGGAGAGUUCUUUAAAAAUCCAACGCAUAAAAUGAACCUGAAAAUACUAAUGUUCUACCGACGGGUGAAUAAUUAAUAAUAUUAGAUUCACCAAAUUUUUAUACAAUAUGGUGAAGAAUUAAUAAGAUUAGAUUCACCAAUUAACCUGAAAAUGCUAAUGCAUACAAUGGUAAAUUCAGACACAUUACAUCCAGACAUAACUUCAUACAAAAAUUAAUAAAAGAUGGAGUGGUGAGUCUAGAAUUUGUGAAGUCAAAGGAAAAUUUAGUCAAUUCCUUGACAAAAGGCCUUGCAAGGAAUGACAUUGCAAAAUGUCAAGGA